CUGGGGCACUACAGCCCUGCUACCAAAUAUGAAACCCCAGGCAGAAGACAAGACAGAUAUCACCUACAGAGCUAGGAAAGCAUUAGCAAAUAAGCUGAGAGCAUUGAAGCAGAAGAAUAAAAUGCUGCCCUUGGGACAGCAUUUGGGGAUUUGAUCACAGCUCGGCAUCUCUCUGUUCAGGGUAAAUACGUCCAUCUGAGUCAGAGCAGACACCUUCCAGCACCUGCCGGUAACUGAGAGCAGUGUAGAGAUGCAGAUGGCAAGAACCUUGCUUGAAUUGGCAACCCGCUGCGACUCUUGCUCUUCAGUUACUUCUUCCCAGGAGUUGCCUUAUCCAACUGUUUUUCCUAAAAUGCUCCUGAAUCCCGUUAACCCUGAGUGGCAAACUUGACCAACUGCUGAUCCGCUCGGUUGGUUGGACCAACUACACGCAUGUCUGAACUUCAAAAAACUUUUAUUGUUAUUAUUUAUAGGUUUACAGGACAUAAUUAGUUCAAGUCCGUUACUUUACAGUUCAUUCUUACAGGGACA